ACAUCUGGGGGGAAUUUUACAGGCAUGAAGCUGCGAACAAAUGGGGAGUGAAAGCUCAGAUGAGAUCUGGGAAUGAGCACAAAACCAAUUUCAUCUUGAAGGUCGCCUACUAGAUCUCUCCUUCUUGCUGACCGCCCUGGGUUCAGCACUGGAUGCAGUAAUGCUGACCAAGAUGAGAAAACCAGAGUGAUUUCAACAGGCCACUUGUUAUGCAAAGAGACAGCAGCCUUAUCUUUCAUCAUUGGAAAUAACUGCCUAGAGGCAUUGCCAAAACGGCCACUGAGUGUACAGGCUUUCUGUAAGGACUUUGGCAGUGGACCCAGAUGCUAUGGAAACCACUUUUCCAUCACGCUGUCAGUGAGCUGAAGAUCUCCUGGAUGUUUAUCUAGUUGAAAACACAGAUUGUGUAUGUGUGACGAAGGAGCAGCAAGGAUGAGUAAGACUGCUUUUGCUUUCUGAAGGUCAGAAUCUAUCAGCCCAAACAUCUGCUGUUCACACACGAACAGCCAUCCAUUCCCAGAUCUGCUUGCAAUCUUCUUGUGUCAGUGGAGCUGCAGUAUGUUGGGAGAAAUGAAGGAUGUUUCUCUGCAUUGUUGCUUGUUUAAUUUGCAUGCUGGUUUCAAAGAAAUAUAUAAAAUAUAAGCUAAUAUGUUGUUUUUGAUGUAUGGUGGUGAUAUGAGUAGCGCAGACAUGAGCAGAUGUGCAUGUAUAAUUUGUAUGUGAAGAAAAUAUUGAGCUUUCAGAUCUGCUCUGUCUCCACCGCCAGGCG